UACAGAGGGUGCGAGCGUUGUUCGGAAUUAUUGGGCGUAAAGAGCGUGUAGGCGGUCAGGUAGGUCCGUUGUGAAAACUCGAGGCUCAACCUCGAGACGCCGAUGGAAACCAUCUGACUAGAGUCCGGAAGAGGAGAGUGGAAUUCCUGGUGUAGCGGUGAAAUGCGCAGAUAUCAGGAAGAACACCCGUGGCUAAGGCGGCUCUCUAGUACGGUACUGACGCUGAGACGCGAAAGCGUGGGGAGCGAACAGG
rnacentral:rRNA from 1 species